rnacentral:rRNA from 1 species
UACGAAGGGGGCUAGCGUUGCUCGGAAUUACUGGGCGUAAAGCGUGCGUAGGCGGUUCGUUAAGUGCGUCGUGAAAGCCCCGGGCUCAACCUGGGAAUGGCGAUGGAAACUGGCGGGCUGGAGUAUGGCAGAGGGGGGUGGAAUUCCGCGUGUAGCAGUGAAAUGCGUAGAGAUGCGGAGGAACACCGAUGGCGAAGGCAGCCCCCUGGGCCAAUACUGACGCUCAGGCACGAAAGCGUGGGGAGCAAACAGG